rnacentral:lncRNA from 10 species
GGGGAGGCAGGACCGUGAGCUGCAGGAGGUUGGUGUUGGCCCUGGGAUGUUGGGACAGAGAUGUUAUCCUGGGAGAACAGCGUGGCCAGGCUAUGCUGGGAGCAGGGUACACGCUGCCCCACUGGGCUGCAUGACUUCCCCUCCCGCGCCCCUCAGAUUCCUGGGUGGCCUUAGAACUUGGGCCAAGGCCACGGACGGGCAGGGAGGCCAGGCCCCCCCCACAGCUGCAGGCCCAGGACCUUUGCCCACGGUCCUAUUCUUCGGUGUUAUCGCUUACUAAAUGCACCCCUUCUUGUCCUUGGCUGGCAGGUUGAGUGUUAUGUUCUCCAUGGCCCCUGGCUCGUUCCACCUGCACCACCGCCGCUCCCGUCAGGCCUUUUCCCCAUCCCCACUAGUGGCACAGGGGAUGCCCCUGCCCCAGUGUGGGAAGAACAGGGCUGCCUGCGGGCGACACAGCAAGGUCCAGCUGACUCUGGAGGCCUCCUGGAGCCUGCUCGGCCCUUCCCCGGCCCGGCCCGGCCCAAAGAGAAAAACAACAACAGCUAUUGAAACAUGAAGGAUCAGUUUCCUCGGAGCUCUGGGAACCCGGGGGUCCCAAAGGAGAGAGACUCUCGGGCAGGGGUGGGAUACACUGUGGGCCCUCCACAGUCAGCUCUUUGGAAGCUGUCAGGAGGCACCCCUCCACCCCCCAGUUUAGAAAAAUAGACAUCUGUAUUUUUGCAUUUCUGUUCUCCCUGCCUGACUGCUGAUGGCAGCAGUGACCCCCAUGUGAUCCCUGGGCCCUGAGUCACAGCCGCCAUCCACCCCCCACCACCUUUCCAAGUCAUGGCUUCAUUCAGCCCUAAAUGGGAACACACGCCUCAGACCCCACCAUGCCCUGGGGGGUCCCCACAUACGCACACUCACACACCCACACUUGCGUGGCCCCCCGAUGCUUUGGGGGACACUAGACUAGGCACAGCAACAGAGCAGCAAUUGGGGUGUCUGCAGAGCCUGCACCCCCAGAGCAGGCAGACCCAUCCUCCUGGCUCCCCAGCUCUGCCCAUGGGUCCCUGGGGCCUCCCUGACCCCAUGGCGCCCAGCCCUCCAUCAGCCCCUCCCUGAGUGCAAACCUUGGCGGUGGCUCUGCUAAGACGACCCCAGGACCCACAAGUGGACAGAGGGACGGAGGGAGGCCAGCAGCAUCGAGACCACAAGGUCUCAACAGUGUGGAAUGAGCAGCAGCAGCAACAAAUGGGAAACCGAGGACAUCGCAAAGAAAAGUCUGACGCCGCUGCGGCCGAGUCUCAACUUGGAGCACAGAAACACAGUGGCCCCCGACAGCUGAGGGCCUGAAAUAGCAGGGCAGGCCUGGGGGCGCUGAAAGCCCUCUGCCCCCUUGGCUCUGAGCAGCUGUCUGGGGGCACCAGCUGGAGUUCUCAAAAUAGCCACCUGGGCCACCCUGUUUGCUUGCUGGAGCAGAGACCCUGCCCAAGGAGGAGAGGCUGGGGAAAGGGGUGCCUAAACGUAGAGCCAGAGACCAGCAGAGGCCACCUGCCCAUUCCCCACGCCCUCAGAACGCAGCUGCACCUUUCGACGACCUCUGUAAUACUGCAGGCAGGACCCAGGGCAGCGGCUAGACCCUGGGUGUCCGAGGAGAGGGAGGCACAGGUUUAGAAAAAAGAUUUUGCUUCUCUUUUGUACAAAAAUAGACUCAAGUCUCAUUAGCAGUAGCUAAAAGUGGCUGUCUUUGUAUAAAACUAG